GACGAACGCUGGCGGCGUGCUUAACACAUGCAAGUCGAACGGAAAGGCCCUGCUUUUUUGGGGUGCUCGAGUGGCGAACGGGUGAGUAACACGUGAGUAACCUGCUCUUGACUUUGGGAUAACUUCAGGAAACUGGGGCUACUACCGUAUAGGAUCUCCUGCUGCAUGGAGGGGGUGGGAAAGUUUCGGCGGUUGGGGAUGGACUCGCGGCUUAUCAGCUUGUUGGUUGGGUAGUGGCUUACCAAGGCUUUGACGGGUAGGCGGCCUGUGAGGGUGACCGGCCACAUUGGGACUGAGAUACGGACCAGACUCCAACGGGAGGCAGCAGUGGGGAAUAUUGCCCAAUGGGCGGAAGCCUGAUGCAGCAACGCCGCGUGCGGGAUGACGGCCUUCGGGUUGUAAACCGCAUUCGCCUGUGACGAAGCGGGAGUGACGGUAAUGGGUAAAGAAGCACCGGCUAACUACGUG
rnacentral:rRNA from 1 species